CCCUUAGAUGUCCUGGGCCGCACGCGCGUUACACUGAUGCAUUCAACGAGCUUAUAACCUUGGCCGAGAGGCCUGGGCAAUCUUGUUAACGUGCAUCGUGAUAGGGAUAGAUUAUUGAAAUUAUUAAUCUUGAACGAGGAAUUCCUAGUAAACGCAGAUCAUCAAUCUGCAUUGAUUACGUCCCUGCCCUUUGUACACACCGCCCGUCGCUCCUACCGAUUGAAUGGUCCGGUGAAGUGCUCGGAUCGUGGCGACGUGGGUGGUCUGCCGCCGACGACGCCGCGAGAAGUCCAUUGAACCUUAUCAUUUAGAGGAAGGAGAAGUCGUAACA
rnacentral:rRNA from 1 species